rnacentral:misc_RNA from 1 species
AGAGGAAGUAAAAGUCGUAACAAGGUUUCCGUAGGUGAACCUGCGGAAGGAUCAUUAGUGAUUAAGAAACCAUUCACGUUGUCCCCGGCGAAUGGUGAAGGAUGAUGACCUAAGCCGCUUGCGGAAGAGGCAUAUAAAGCUAUUAUUUGUGUAGUGAUAAAAUAGGUAUCGCGCGGUAACUUUAUGCAAAAAGUUAGGCGUGUGUCGCUGACAACUAGGUUGUCGGUUUGACAGUUUUCAAAAGUGUGUGCUAUAGAGCAGAGAAAUUUGCAAGACUCAAUAUGGAGGAUCACUUAGUCCUUAGAGCGAUGAAAAACGUAGUAAUUUGUGGAAAUUGAUGUGAGUUGUGAAAUUUUGUGAGCAUUGUGUUUUUGAAUGAAAAUUUCAGUACAGAUGCGAAUGUAUCUAUGCUGCACUUGUUUCAGUAUACAAAACAAACAAUACGUAAUUACUGUUGCUGAAACGCAAUAGUAGAAAUUAUGAAUGAUCACAAGAGUGAUAACAAUAGAAUGUGCGAGUGAAAAUGUACCUGAAAUCAAGUGUGACUACCCCCUGAAUUUAAGCAUAU